GACGAACGCUGGCGGCGUGCUUAACACAUGCAAGUCGAACGGAAAGGCCCUGCUUUUGUGGGGUGCUCGAGUGGCGAAAGGGUGAGUAACACGUGAGUAACCUGCCCUUGACUUUGGGAUAACUUCAGGAAACUGGGGCUAAUACCGGAUAGGAGCUCCUGCUGCAUGGUGGGGGUUGGAAAGUUUCGGCGGUUGGGGAUGGACUCGCGGCGUAUCAGCUUGUUGGUGGGGUAGUGGCUUACCAAGGCUUUGACGGGUAGCCGGCCUGAGAGGGUGACCGGCAACAUUGGGACUGAGAUACGGCGCAGACUCGUAGGGGAGGCAGCAGUGGGGAAUAGUGCACACUGGGCAGGAGCCUGAUGCAGCAACGCCGAGUGCGGGAUGACGGCCUUCGGGUUGUAAACCGCUUUCGCCUGUGACGAAGCGUGAGUGACGGUAAUGGGUAAAGAAGCAGCGGCUAACUACGUG
rnacentral:rRNA from 1 species